GACGUACUUCCUUCAUCCGGAAUUACUUGUCGCCGAAAUAGAUAAAACUGGAUGUAUUUAGAACUAAAAUAUAUCUAAAUACAUUCAUUUCUUUGACAAGUAUUUCUGGACGGAGGAAGUACGUA
rfam:Triticum aestivum genome assembly, contig: Triticum_aestivum_CS42_TGACv1_scaffold_193738_3AL